GUGAAAGUAACACAAAAUUAGCUGCUUUUCCAGAAAAAGACUAAAACUUCUCAGAAGUACGUAAGGUUUUAUGAGGUUUUCCCACCCAGGCUUCUAGACUUCUGAUUGGCCAACAUUUCUACACGGUUAAGAUUUGGCGUGUUCUUGACAGCGUUUCACUUUGUUUUUAGUGUUUAGAUGUGGAAGGAGAUAUUUUUUCAAAACUGCACAUGUGGACUGGAUUUUUAUUUUUUUUUAAACGAAAAAGGAAAAUCGUCCGUUUUCAAACAUAGCCGUGUACGUUUGGACGCAGCCUAAAGUCAUCACAAAAAAAGCAAAUUCUCUGAACAUUCUGGGUUGAGGUUUAGUGAUCAUUGUUGUUUUGUGUUCCUUGUAGUCAAAAUGAGUGCAAGUGGAGACGGACCACAAAAUAACCAAAACGGCCAACAGGUUAACCCACGAAUGUUGGCAAAUGGAGAUCAGGAACCUGCUAAUGGCUUCCUGAACGAUCUGUAUCUCGCUCUCCGUGAAUAUUGUUGCUAUCUACAUGAGCUAAUAGCUUCAGUACUGGCACAAUAUGACAAUUACCUUUACGGGGACGACGACGACGACGACGACGACGACGACGACGACGACGACAACGACGAUGACGACAACGAC
ensembl:lncRNA